UGAAGGUUCUCUGGUACAGCCUUCAU
rnacentral:piRNA from 1 species